rnacentral:rRNA from 1 species
CUGCAACUCGACCCCAUGAAGUCGGAGUCGCUAGUAAUCGCAGAUCAGCAACGCUGCGGUGAAUACGUUCCCGGGCCUUGUACACACCGCCCGUCACGUCAUGAAAGUCGGUAACACCCGAAGCCGGUGGCCUAACCCCUUGUGGGAGGGAGCUGUCGAAGGUGGGAUCGGCGAUUGGGACGAAGUCGUAACAAGGUAGCCGUACCGGAAGGUGCGGCUGGAUCACCUCCUUUCUAAGGAG